AUGAGUUGCCUGGCCUAAAACUGUCGAGGACUGGGGUUGGACUCCACAGUGGGCAAGCUUCGAGACCUGAUUGGGUCGUACAACCCAGCGGUGGUAUUUCUGAGCGAGACCAAAAAAACGGCGAGAGCGAUGGAGAGACUCAAGUGGAGUCUUGGGUUCAAAAAUGAUGUGGCAAUGGAUUAUGUGGGUAGAAGUGGAGGAUUAGCUUUGUGGUGGAGAGAUCAUCUGCAGGUUACAGUGAGGCACUGGUGCUAA
rnacentral:rRNA from 1 species